UUCCAAAUUUGAAUCUCAUAAGUUUGACUUUACAUGGAAUUCUCGGACAAUUUUGAGCUCGUCACAAUCCCGUUGUUUUUAUUUAAAUCGGAAUUCUAAGUUUAAAUGUUGCAAUUCUGAUGCAUUUUUCUCAGAAUUCUGCAUUUACAUCUC